rnacentral:rRNA from 1 species
UGGGGAAUAUUGCACAAUGGGCGCAAGCCUGAUGCAGCCAUGCCGCGUGUGUGAAGAAGGCCUUCGGGUUGUAAAGCACUUUCAGCGAGGAGGAAGGGUAGUGUGUUAAUAGCACAUUGCAUUGACGUUACUCGCAGAAGAAGCACCGGCUAACUCCGUGCCAGCAGCCGCGGUAAUACGGAGGGUGCAAGCGUUAAUCGGAAUUACUGGGCGUAAAGCGCAUGCAGGCGGUUUGUUAAGUCAGAUGUGAAAUCCCCGCGCUUAACGUGGGAACUGCAUUUGAAACUGGCAAGCUAGAGUCUUGUAGAGGGGGGUAGAAUUCCAGGUGUAGCGGUGAAAUGCGUAGAGAUCUGGAGGAAUACCGGUGGCGAAGGCGGCCCCCUGGACAAAGACUGACGCUCAGGUGCGAAAGCGUGGGGAGCAAACA